rnacentral:lncRNA from 1 species
CUCUAGGACAAAAUCAUGUCCAUUCCUAGACAUGUCUGGACCUAUUUUUAUCAUAUGAAAGAAUAUAAAGAUGCUGGACCCACUGCUAAGCCAAGGCUGCCUUUUCUGGGUAAUGCUACAUCCUCACUCAAACAACUCAGGACAAAAUAACUGGUUUCAGAAAUGGAACUUGCAACCUGAAGCAAAGUUAGAAGUCAUGUCACCAGGAAAAAGAGAAUCACCAGGUGAGAGAGCUGGAAACAGAUGCCUUCAAGACAAUAUCAAUGGUUGGGGGAUUAAUUAA